rnacentral:rRNA from 1 species
AGGGGGGGUUUUCGGAUUUACUGGGCGUAAGCGUGCGUAGGCGGCUUUUUAAGUCGGAUGUGAAAUCCCUGAGCUUAACUUAGGAAUUGCAUUCGAUACUGGAAAGCUAGAGUAUGGGAGAGGAUGGUAGAAUUCCAGGUGUAGCGGUGAAAUGCGUAGAGAUCUGGAGGAAUACCGAUGGCGAAGGCAGCCAUCUGGCCUAAUACUGACGCUGAGGUACGAAAGCAUGGGGAGCAAACAGGAUUAGAUACCCUGGUAGUCCAUGCCGUAAACGAUGUCUACUAGCCGUUGGGGCCUUUGAGGCUUUAGUGGCGCAGCUAACGCGAUAAGUAGACCGCCUGGGGAGUACGGUCGCAAGACUAAAACUCAAAUGAAUUGACGGGGGCCCGCACAAGCGGUGGAGCAUGUGGUUUAAUUCGAUGCAACGCGAAGAACCUUACCUGGCCUUGACAUACUAAGAACUUUCCAGAGAUGGAUUGGUGCCUUCGGGAACUUAGAUACAGGUGCUGCAUGGCUGU